rnacentral:rRNA from 1 species
CACGUAGGGUGCGAGCGUUGUCCGGAAUUAUUGGGCGUAAAGAGCUCGUAGGCGGUGUGUCGCGUCGGCCGUGAAAACCUGCAGCUUAACUGUGGGCUUGCGGUCGAUACGGGCAUCACUUGGAGUUCGGCAGGGGGAGACUGGAAUUCCUGGUGUAGCGGUGAAAUGCGCGAUAAUCAGGAGGAACACCGGUGGCAAGGCGGGGU